rnacentral:tRNA from 4 species
GCGGGAGUAGCUCAGUGGUAGAGCAUCACCUUGCCAAGGUGAGGGUCGCGAGUUCGAGCCUCGUUUCCCGCUCCA